UGAGAGAGAAUCACUCUAUUGUAGUUGUUAUAUAUUGUGUGAUUAAUGAAAGUUUGUUUAUUGAGUGAAAAGUGAUUUUCUAUCACAACUUCUACCCAUCAUUAUCAUGUUUAUAAAAUCAGCAAGACCCUCUUCAUCAGUUCAAUUUUAAUUGGUUGCAGUUAAGAUUAUGACUUAUGAGACAUGAGCAGGUGAAUGGGCUAGAUGAUUCUAGUGGUGAUAAAGAGCCAUCUGGUGCAGGAGAUGAGCUAGAUGAGCGUGGUGAAGGUUGUCAAGUUAAUGGGAUAAGCCACAUAGUACGGUGCAAAUGAAGAGGAUAAGAGCAAAAGGUGACAAUGUUCUCACAUAAUGAAGACAAUUUAUGCACAGAUUUUGGGUCCACAAAACAGCUACAACACACUGCAAGAAACCAACAGAGCUUAAAAAUCUUCAGAAUGAUAGCCAAGUUUCCUGCAACAGCAACAUAUAAUAAGCUUUAAAGAUUACUAGUGAAAAAAGAAUAUAGAUUUUGAUUCAAAUAAGCAAUUUUUCGUGUCCUCAAUAAGAAGCAAUCCUUUUGUUUUGUUCAACCUCAGUUAUGCUUUAACAAAAUUAAUUUUUGAUCUUCUUGAGCCUUGUUAGAACAUCUUUAGCAAUGAGCCUCUCCUUUGGCAAAUCAAUCAUGCAUUCUAGUGCUAGUUCCAUGAUUAAUUUGAAGUACUCUCCUUAGCUUGAAUAUUAUCUUCAAUAGCAUUCACUAAAUCGACAUCUACUAUUUGCAUUAUUGCAUCUGGGAAUUAUUCAAGCAUCCAUUUCCUCAUUGUGAACUCUUCGGCAAACAUAUCAUCUGUUGGCUUCUUUUUGGUAGAUGUUUCCAUCAGUAUAAUCCCAUAACUGUAAACAUCCACCAUAGUUGAUUCUAAUCCAGUUGAUCCAUACUCUACAA